UUAGAAAAUUCCAGUCAUCCUAAACAGGAUGACAGCGGACAAAGGCGGAUGUCAGCUGCAGGAAUCUGUUGAUCCCGCACCGAGUCGGAUCUGUCCUCCCGGCUGCCAGAAGCAGCGACUUAAACAGACGCCAGUGAUCACAAGGGCGUCUGUGCGGGCUGUCAGCCGGCUGUUCGAGGGACACCGCGUCAUGGCUCCUUCGCGCCUUCCUCUAUCGGUACAGCGGCAAAUAGAAAAACAACAAAACGGCUAAAUAAAUAAAGUUAGGAGGAAAGCGACCGUCACCGACUCCUAAGGCAGUCAGUCUUUCCUGAGAGGGCGAGGUGUGCGGACGACCGGACGCCCCGAAGUGGAGGGUCCCUGACGCGGGUAGGCGGCUUCGACAAAGCCCCCACCGCCUGCAGCCUAAAGCUCAUCACAUUAUCCC